GAUGAACGCUGGCGGCGUGCCUAAUACAUGCAAGUCGAGCGAACAGAUAAGGAGCUUGCUCCUUUGACGUUAGCGGCGGACGGGUGAGUAACACGUGGGUAACCUACCUAUAAGACUGGAAUAACGCCGGGAAACCGGGUCUAAUGCCGGAUAACAUUUAGAACCGCAUGGUUCUAAAGUGAAAGAUGGUUUUGCUAUCACUUAUAGAUGGACCCGCGCCGUAUUAGCUAGUUGGUAAGGUAACGGCUUACCAAGGCAACGAUACGUAGCCGACCUGAGAGAGUGAUCGGCCACACUGGAACUGAGACACGGUCCAGACUCCUACGGGAGGCAGCAGUAGGGAAUCUUCCGCAGUGGGCGAAAGCCUGACGGAGCAACGCCGCGUGAGUGAUGACGGUCUUCGGAUCGUAAAACUCUGUUAUUAGGGAAGAACAAAUGUGUAAGUAACUGUGCACGUCUUGACGGUACCUAAUCAGAAAGCCACGGCUAACUACGUG
rnacentral:rRNA from 1 species